rnacentral:rRNA from 1 species
UCACCUAAGGCUAAAUAUUGGCGAGAGACCGAUAGCGAACAAGUACCGUGAGGGAAAGAUGAAAAGAACUUUGAAAAGAGAGUUAAACAGUACGUGAAAUUGUUGAAAGGGAAACGAUUGAAGUCAGUCGUGCUGGCGCGAAAUCAACCCUCUCGUCGAGAGGUCACAUGGCGUGGCGAGCCUCAAAACCGUCACGAAGCGUGAACUCUUGGCGAAAAGGAGCACUUUCGUGUCCGCUGGUUAACAUCAAUUUCGAACGUCAUAAAAAGGCUGGAGGGAUGUGGCUCCUUCGGGAGUGUUAUAACCUUUAGCGGAAUGUGGUGGUCGGGAUUGAGGAUUGCAACGAAUACCUUUAGGGCUGUUCCACCUGGCUUCUCUUUGGUAUCCUGGUGAAGACAGCUUGCUGACUUUGUUAGGAUUCGCCUUUGAACAGGCUAGAGUGUGAGCAA